rnacentral:lncRNA from 1 species
ACUUCCUGGACUCUGCUGGGAUGGGUUCAAAGUAGAGAAAGUGGAAGAGGAAAGAGUUACCCCAGCGAGAACCGGGAACCGGGCUGCAGACUCUCCGGCCCGGGGGAGGGAUGAGUUUCACUCUGGUUGCCCAGGCUGGAGUGCAAUGGCGCGAUCUCGGCUCACCGCAACCUCUGCCUCCCGGAUUCAAGCGAUUCUCCUGCUUCAGCCUCCCGAGUAGCUGGGAUUACAGGACCUGGGAAAGCUUCCUCCAGCCCUGAUGCUGGCCUGCAGUAUGGCACUUGACAGCUACUGGUAUUGUGGAUAGAAGCAAAGGCUCUGGACUCAGCAACACUUGGUUUGAAUUCCAGUUCUACCACUUACUAGCUGUGGUGCUGCUGACAACUUAAACUCCAUGAACCUCAGUUUUCUUCAUCUGUAAGGUGGGAUAACAGUACUUCUCUAAUAGGGAUAUUGUGAGGAUCAAAUAUGAUGAUCUAAAGCAGUUAGCACAAUAUCUUGCACAUAGUAAGUGCUUAAUAAGUGGCAGUUAUUAUUUCAUACAUUAUAAGGUGAUACCCCUGAACUUCCAUUGUAUCCAGAUUCAGAUUUCUGCAUGUUAAAGGACACAUCAUAUUGCAAGACGAUAGGGUGGUACUGCCUAUCAGCCAAUUGUGUAGGCUCCAGAUCCAUCAGCACAGCAAUGAUUGGGAAAGUACUUGAUUAUUCCAUGUUAUCCUCAUUUUAUAAAAUUUUGUCAGUGGAAAAUGGAAGUACCAAUAGUAGUGAUAAGAAGUAUGCAUCUGUCAAGUAAGUGAAAAUACAACCCACUGAAUGGGAGAAAAUGUUUGCAAAUCAUAUAUAAGGCAGUGGUCCACAACCUUUUUGGUACCAGGGACCGGUUUUGUGGAAGACAAUUUUUCCACGGUUGGGGGUGGGGAGGGGGUUGGGGGUGAGUGGGGAUGAUUUCAGGAUGAAACUGCUCCAUCUCAGAUCAUCAGGCAUUAGAUUCUCACAAGGAGCACCCAACCUAGAUCCCUCCCAAGUGCAGUUCCCAGUGGGGUUCACACUCCUGUGAAAAUCUAAUGCUGCCGAAGAUUUGACUGGAGGCAGAGCUCAGGUGCUAAUGCUCCCUUGCCUGCUGCUCACCUCCUGCUGUAUGGCCCCAUUCCCAACCAGUACCUCUCCAUGCAGGUGUGGGGAGGCAAUGCGGUGUGGGGAGGCAAUGCGGUGUGGGGGUGUUGGGAACUGCUAUGAUAAGGAACUUGUAUUCAGAAUAUAUGCAGAACUCUUAUUACUCAAUAAUAAAGAGACAAAUAACCCAAUUGAAAAGUGGGCUAAGGGUUUGAAUAGACAUUUCUCCAAAGAAGAUAAACAAAUGGCCAAUAAGCCCAUGCAAAGAUGCUCAACAUCCUAAUCACCAGGGAUAUCAGAAGGGAAAUGCAAAUCAAACCUGCAAUUAGGUAUUACUUCACACCUACUAGGAUGGCUGUAGCCAAUAAGACAGACAAUAACAAGUGUUGACAAGGAUGUGGAGAAAUUGAAACCUACAUAUAUUGCUGGUAGGAAUGCAAAAUGGUAAAACACUUUGCAAAACAGUGUAUCAAUUCCUCAAAAAAAAUUUUUUUUUUUUUGAGACGGAGUCUCUUGUCACUGAGGCUGGAAUGCAGUGGCAUGAUAUCAGCUCACUGCAACAUCCACCUCGUGGGUUCAAGUGAUUCUCCUGCCUCAGCCUCCCAAGUAGCUGGGAUUACAGGCACCUGCCAUCAUGCCCGGCUAAUUUUUGUAUUUUUAGUACAGACGGGGUUUCACCAUGUUGGCCAGGCUGAUCUUGAUCCUGACCUCAGGUGAUCCACCCACCUCGGCCUCCUAAAGUGUUGGGAUUACAGGCAUGAGCCACCUCACCCAGCCCAAUUCCUCAAAAUUUUAAAAUAGAGUUACUUUAUUAAUCAGCAAUUUCACUCUUAGGUAUCUGCCCAAGAGAAAUGAAACAAUUCAUCCACACAAACACUUUUACAUGAAUGUUAACAGCAGCAUUAUUCACAAUAGCCAAAAGGUGGAAACAGCUCAAAUAUCCAUCAACUGAUGAAAGGAUAAACAAAAUGUGGUAUAUUCACACAAUGAAAUAUUAAUGAUACAAAGGAAGUGCUGACACAUGCUGCAACAUAGAUGAACUUUGAAAAUAUGCUAAAUGAAAGCAGUUACAAAAGACCACAUAAUGCAUGAUUUGAUUUAUGUAAAUGUCCAGAAAGGGCAAAUCCAUAGAUACACUAUAGAAAAUAGAUUAGUCGUUGUCAGAGGCUAAAGAGAGUAGGGAGGAUUGGGAUGGGGAGUGACUUAUGGGUACAGGGUUUCUUUUAGGGGGACAAAGAUAUUUUGGAAUUAGUAGUGAUGGUUGCACAACCUAGUAAAUAUACUAAAAUAUAUGAAAUUGUACAUUUUCAAUGGGUGAAUUAUGUAGUAUACGUGAUUUAUAUCUCAACAAAAAGGAGUUUAAAAAGAAGUAUGUGUAUCAUUGACUCUUUCGAUAUAAACAUAGAAAUCAUUAGACUUAUCGAAAGGGAUGAAUCUUUAGCCUCCAUGGGAUGUUCUUAAGCCUAUUGCUGUUUUUUGAUUUGUGAAGGAAAAUAAUCAAAUUGAAGGUACAUUAGGAAGGACAGCAAACAUAUGAUCAGCGAUUGUGUCUAAAAAUGCAGGUGUAAUUGGACAUGCUGUACCACUUUUUAUUCCCAACAUAAAUUUGUUGUUUGACUUUUGUACUUUUGACAUUAGUAAUAUUUUCUGAAAUAAAUUGUGUAUGGAAGCAGG